rnacentral:rRNA from 1 species
AUUGAACGCUGGCGGCAUGCCUUACACAUGCAAGUCGAACGUGAAAGCGGGGCAACCCGCAAGUAGAGUGGCGGACGGGUGAGUAAUACAUCGGAACGUGUCCAGUAAUGGGGGAUAACCUAGCGAAAGUUAGGCUAAUACCGCAUACGAUCUGCGGAUGAAAGCGGGGGAUGCGGCACUAAAGGCUUUUGGCGAAGGUGGCCAAAGGUGAGUCAAGAGCUUUUAGUGCUGCACCUCGCGUUAUUGGAGCGGCUGAUGUCUGAUUAGCUAGUUGGUGAGGUAAAGGCUUACCAAGGCGACGAUCAGUAGCUGGGUCUGAGAGGACGGCCAGCCACACUGGGACU